GACAAACGCUGGCGGCGUGCUUAAGCUUAUGCAAGUCGAACGAUUAAAGCUCCCUUCGGGGAGUGUAUAAAGUGGCGAACGGGUGAGUAACACGUGGGUAACCUACCCUCUGGUGGGGAAUAACACCUCGAAAGGGGUGCUAAUACCGCAUAAGUCCUUCAGUGGGCAUCCACUGCGGGAGAAAGGUUUCGGUCGCCGGAGGAUGGGCCCGCGCGCUAUUAGCUAGUUGGUGGGGUAACGGCCUACCAAGGCUGCGAUGGCUAGCCGGCCUGAGAGGGUGUCCGGCCACACUGGGACUGAGACAAGGCCCAGUCCCCUACGGGAGGCGCAGGCGGGAAUUGUUCCCAAUGGGCGCAAGCCUGAGGACGCGACGCCGCGUGAGGGAUGAAGGCUUUCGGGUUGUAAACCUCUGUCGUCAGGGAAGAACGGGUGAGGUACUCCCUUACUCUGACGGUACCUGACAAGAAAGCCUCGGCUAACUACGUG
rnacentral:rRNA from 1 species